rnacentral:lncRNA from 1 species
AUAUAUACACUAGAUAUCGCAUGGGGACCCUGAACAUGCGUCAAUAGCGCCGCCACAUUUGUACAGUGCUCCCAGGACAUGUCAUUCAACCGCACCAGUCACGACAGUGUGCCAGUGUGAAGAUGCUGGACUUUAGCGCUAUGUACGGGGGUAGUAACGAGAAAACGAAGCACAAAGGCAGAACAUUUCAUAGGGGGAAAUGUUUUCCAAUGAGUCUAUAGAUGAAACGCGCGGGAGGGGCAGAAGGGAAGAUGACAGGAACGGCUGAAAGGCACUACACUGUGAAGGAGGAGCGCCUGCCACCAACAUCCCUCCUCUUUUUUUUUUCUUCUCCAAAUCGGGUGGUUAUCGUUUGCGACUGAAGCCAAGCUGCACAGUCUGUUCCUCUCUGUGUGAAUUCAUAGCAAAAGCAGCUUUCCUAACCGCUAAUUACAACUCUGAGCUCAUUAAACCACCAGUUUUAUACUCACACGUGCAUGCGCGACCGCUGACGAUGGCAUCAUCCAUCAGCUAUGAUUGAUCCAUUCCGAAAUCCCAAAUCAAACACAUCCCUGCUCCCCGAGAAAACGCCAUUCCUUUCCAGAAUCCACAUUAGAUCUAUAUUUACUGCUAAACGCUCAGCCUCUAACUCAAAUCUUGUUCCUUGUUUGUCUCCGGGAUGCAACGAUGCAAAGCCCAGCAGCGACAGCAUCAAUGAGGAACGACGGUAAAACGUCGAUGAGUCCCUGUGUUGCUGCAGCCUUCCGCAGGUUCGCCUUGGCUAUUUAUCCCCGAACACAGGCUUUGUCGAGCACUUACACCAGUGGCCUAAAAGCAAGCUGUGUGUAAAAAAGAAAUGGCAGGGCCCUUAAAAGGAGAGAAUCCAUCAGGCUCGGGUUGUUACAAAGUGGUCCUCUAUUAAAAAUGCAGCAGGGCCAUUACCUCAGGACCGGUGCCUUUCUCCUCGGGCUCUCUCAAACCCACAGAAACCAACUAGCUAGCUCGGAUCACCCCAUUACAGACCGGACCGCACAUGCAUGCUGCUGGUCAUGGAUGAAUACUGGGAGUGAUUGCUGUUACUUCAUGAAGGUGACUGUGCACAUGCAAAAGACUUUCCCACCCAAAGUUAUUACGCAAUUUAUUUCAUGAAACCCAAAAGGAAUGUUUUCUUCAGUGUUUUGAAGUAAAGGUAAAUGUUUUAAACUCUAUUUUGUUUUAUGGAUAUAAACCGUAGAAAGGACAAAUGAGGAUAGAAGGUUAAUUUUUAAGUGCAUUAUGCUUCCGGUCUGAAAAUUAGCAGGUAUUUUAAUGCUGAACUGUAUGAAUAUAUGUAAAUGAACGUAGAUUGCGAAUUGUAGAUCUCCCAGCAUCUUUUACAUGAGAGUAGAUCAAGUAUUUAAAAAAACAUGAAUCAAGGACAGACAUGUUUGUGGUUAAUGGGCAGAUUGGUUGGUGAAUUGGAGUAUCUGUCAUUUUUUGAGUUUUUGAGGUUACGGUUGGAGCUUAGGUUGUGGGACAGCACAUGAAAGCUGCGGUGUGUGUUUUGUCAUUCAUUGAGAAUAAGCGGUUCAGUUCUGUAAUGAGUCUGCCCUUAUUUUUUUUCUUCUGAUUAAUCACAUUGCAUGCUAACACUCUCUAUUGUCAAAUUUUAUUUACAUGGCAUUUGCAAGUAAAAAUGAAUUAAUGU